GACGAACGCUGGCGGCGUGCUUAACACAUGCAAGUCGAACGAAGUGGCGAACGGGUGAGUAACGCGUAAUCAACCUGCCCUUCAGAGGGGGACAACAGUUGGAAACGACUGCUAAUACCGCAUACUGAAGGAGGGGAUUGCGUCUGAUUAGCUAGUUGGAGGGGUAACGGCCCACCAAGGCGAUGAUCAGUAGCCGGUCUGAGAGGAGGACCGGCAACAUUGGGACGGAGACACGGCCAAAACGCCUACGGGAGGCAGCAGUGGGGAACCUUCCGCAAUGGACGAAAGUCUGCCGGGGAAACGCGGCGGGAUGGAUGAGGGCCUCGGGUUGUAAAGAUCUGUUAAUCGGGACGCGGUACCGGAAUAGAAAGCCACGGCUAACUACGUGCCAGCAGCCGCGGUAAUUC
rnacentral:rRNA from 1 species